rnacentral:rRNA from 1 species
UACGAAGGGGGCUAGCGUUGCUCGGAAUUACUGGGCGUAAAGGGCGCGUAGGCGGACAGUUUAGUCAGAGGUGAAAGCCCAGGGCUCAACCUUGGAGUUGCCUUUGAUACUGGCUGUCUUGAGUUCGGGAGAGGUGAGUGGAAUGCCGAGUGUAGAGGUGAAAUUCGUAGAUAUUCGGCGGAACACCAGUGGCGAAGGCGACUCACUGGCCCGAUACUGACGCUGAGGCGCGAAAGCGUGGGGAGCAAACAGG